GGCAGCUCAGUGGUUAAGACGUUGGACUACUACGCGGGAGGUCGUGAGUUCAAAUCCCACCACUACCA